GUGCCAGCCCGCGGUACUACGUAGGGGGCGAGCGUUAUCCGGAAUUACUGGGCGUAAAGGGUCCGCAGGGGGUCUGCCAAGUCCGUUGUGAAAGUCCACGGCUCAACCGUGGCAGUGCAUCGGAAACUGGCGGACUUGAGUGCACGAGAGGAAAGCGGAAUUCCCGGUGUAGCGGUGGAAUGCGUAGAUAUCGGGAAGAACACCAGCGGCGAAGGCGGCUUUCUGGCGUGCUACUGACCCUGAGGGACGAAAGCGUGGGGAGCGAACGGGAUUAGAAACCCGUGUAGUCC
rnacentral:rRNA from 1 species